CCUACGGGGGGCAGCAGUGAGGAAUAUUGGUCAAUGGGCGCGAGCCUGAACCAGCCAAGUAGCGUGAAGGAUGACUGUCCUACGGGUUGUAAACUUCUUUUUUAAAGGAGUAAAGUGAGGCACGUGUGCCGUUUUGUAUGUACCUGAUGAAUAAGGAUAGGCUAACGCCGUGCCAGCAGCCGCCGUAAUACGGAGGAUCCGAGCGUUAUCCGGAUUUAUUGGGUUUAAAGGGGGCGUAGAUGGGUUGUUAAGUCAGUUGUGAAAGUUUGCGGCCCAAACGUAAAAUUGCAAUUGAUACUGGCAGUCUUGAGUGCAGUUGAGGUAGGCGGAAUGCGGGGUGUAGCGGUGAAAUGCUUAGAUAUCACGAAGAACUCCGAUUGCGAAGGCAGCUUACUAACCUGCCACUGACAUUGAUGCUCGAAAGUGUGGGUAUCAAACAGGAUUAGAUACCCCGGUAGUC
rnacentral:rRNA from 1 species